rnacentral:rRNA from 1 species
GACAGAGGAUGCAAGCGUUAUCCGGAAUGAUUGGGCGUAAAGGGUCUGUAGGUGGCUUUUUAAGUCUGCCGUCAAAUCCCAGGGCUUAACCCUGGACAGGCGGUGGAAACUACCAAGCUGGAGUACGGUAGGGGCAGGGGGAAUUUCCGGUGGAGCGGUGAAAUGCGUAGAGAUCGGAAAGAACACCAACGGCGAAAGCACUCUGCUGGGCCGACACUGACACUGAGAGACGAAAGCUAGGGGAGCGAAUGGG